rnacentral:rRNA from 1 species
GACGAACGCUGGCGGCGUGCUUAACGCAUGCAAGUCGAACGAAGAGCGAUGGAAGCUUGCUUCUCUCAAUCUUAGUGGCGAACGGGUGAGUAACGCGUAAUCAACCUGCCCUUCAGAGGGGGACAACAGUUGGAGACGACUGCUAAUACCGCAUACGAUCCAAUCUCGGCAUCGGGACUGGAUGAAAGGUGGCCUCUAUUUAUAAGCUAUCACUGAAGGAGGGGAUUGCGUCUGAUUAGCUAGUUGGAGGGGUAACGGCCCACCAAGGCGAUGAUCAGUAGCCGGUCUGAGAGGAUGAACGGCCACAUUGGGACUGGGACACGGCCCAGACUCCUACGGGAGGCAGCAGUGGGGAAUCUUCCGCAAUGGGCGAAAGUCUGACGGAGCAACGCCGCGUGAGUGAUGACGGCCUUCGGGUUGUAAAGCUCUGUUAAUCGGGACGAAUGGUUCUUGUGCGAAUAGUGCGAGGAUUUGACGGUACCGGAAUAGAAAGCCACGGCUAACUACGUG